rnacentral:rRNA from 1 species
GACGAACGCUGGCGGCGUGCUUAACACAUGCAAGUCGAACGGAAAGGCCCUGCUUUUGUGGGGUGCUCGAGUGGCGAACGGGUGAGUAACACGUGAGUAACCUGCCCUUGACUUUGGGAUAACUUCAGGAAACUGGGGCUAAUACCGUAUAGGAGCUCCUGCUGCAUGGUGGGGGUUGGAAAGUUUCGGCGGUUGGGGAUGGACUCGCGGCUUAUCAGCUUGUUGGUGGGGUAGUGGCUUACCAAGGCUUUGACGGGUAGCCGGCCUGAGAGGGUGACCGGCCACAUUGGGACUGAGAGACGGCCCAGACUCCUACGGGAGGCAGCAGUGGGGAAUAUUGCACAAUGGGCGGAAGCCUGAUGCAGCAACGCCGCGGGCGGGAUGACGGCCUUCGGGUUGUAAACCGCUUUCGCCUGUGACGAAGCGUGAGUGACGGUAAUGGGUAAAGAAGCACCGGCUAACUACGUG